CAUCCCGAAGGAAUGGCAGAGAAGCUAAGAUUUAGAAUGAAAGCAUGUGUAGACUCUUAAACUUCUGUGAUUGCUCAGUAGGAAACACUAAAUGUGCUUAUGUCACACAGUGGAAAUGUUUGUGCAUUCUGAGAUGAGCCCAAUACAAAACGUACUUUACCUGUUCUGCACAUUUGUGCAAAUAAUGUAUUCCAUACAAUUACAGAUUGCUCUCACAACCAUCUGGAGGUGUUCCCUGUCCGCAACAUAAUAAAGACAAGGAACCGAAAGGGGGGACGGAGCACCUUUAUGACUGGGAGCCCUGCACCAUUUGUGGUAUGGGCUGGCCUCCAUCCUGGCAAGCAGCCUGAUUCCCACCCCAUGCAAAUCCCAUUGCCAAACAAAACAAUAAAUGUUUUGGUGUUUGUAUGGAAUUAAUAAAGUGCAACAGACUUAACAUUUUUUUGACUUGAAGGAUCCCUGUAUGCAUUGUUUUAUGGCCACUGGCAAUUAAUUUCACAGGUGAAUUGCAUAUUGAUGUAAAAUGAAGCUGAGCGCAAAUUCUUUCAGGAAGACGGGGUAUAUAUAAUAUAUAUAUAUAUAUAUAUAUACUGUAUAUAUACAUUCACUCCGCAGCUGCAUAUAAUCAGCUCAUCACAGGCGUUCUCUUUAACAUAUUACAUUCACCUCAUUCUCCAGCAGCCAAUCACUGUGCUGCAGCCAAACUUUAAAAUGGCAGUCAGCUGUGAUUUCAGGUGUUCAUGCUUCCGCCCGCCUCCUCCUCAUCCACCUCCUUUCAUCACAUCCAGUGCCAGGAGAGCUAAUCCAAAGACCUCAUCACACCCCCUCUUCAUCCCAUCUCCUCAUCAAAUCCAGAUCUUCAGCAUCACCACCAGUGACUAGA